AUGUUUGAUGUUCUAACCUGGCGCCGUGAUCCGGCGUGGGGACAGUGUCUGGUGGGUAGUUUGACUGGGGCGGUCUCCUCCCAAAGUGUAACGGAGGAGCACGAAGGUCAGCUAAUCCUGGUCGGACAUCAGGAGGUUAGUGCAAUGGCAUAAGCUGGCUUGACUGCGAGAGUGACGGCUCGAGCAGGUGCGAAAGCAGGUCAUAGUGAUCCGGUGGUUCUGUAUGGAAGGGCCAUCGCUCAACGGAUAAAAGGUACUCCGGGGAUAACAGGCUGAUACCGCCCAAGAGUUCAUAUCGACGGCGGUGUUUGGCACCUCGAUGUCGGCUCAUCACAUCCUGGGGCUGAAGUAGGUCCCAAGGGUAUGGCUGUUCGCCAUUUAAAGUGGUACGCGAGCUGGGUUUAGAACGUCGUGAGACAGUUCGGUCCCUAUCUGCCGUGGGCGCUGGAGAAUUGAGGGGGGCUGCUCCCAGUACGAGAGGACCGGAGUGGACGCAUCACUGGUGUUCGGGUUGUCAUGCCAAUGGCACUGCCCGGUAGCUAAAUGCGGAAGAGAUAAGUGCUGAAAGCAUCUAAGCACGAAACUUGCCCCG
rnacentral:rRNA from 1 species